AUUGAACGCUGGCGGCAUGCCUUACACAUGCAAGUCGAACGGCAGCAUGAUCUAGCUUGCUAGAUUGAUGGCGAGUGGCGAACGGGUGAGUAAUACAUCGGAACGUGCCCUGUAGUGGGGGAUAACUAGUCGAAAGAUUAGCUAAUACCGCAUACGACCUGAGGGUGAAAGUGGGGGACCGCAAGGCCUCAUGCUAUAGGAGCGGCCGAUGUCUGAUUAGCGAGUUGGUGGGGUAAAGGCCCACCAAGGCGACGAUCAGUAGCUGGUCUGAGAGGACGAUCAGCCACACUGGGACUGAGACACGGCCCAGACUCCUACGGGAGGCAGCAGUGGGGAAUUUUGGACAAUGGGGGCAACCCUGAUCCAGCAAUGCCGCGUGUGUGAAGAAGGCCUUCGGGUUGUAAAGCACUUUUGUCCGGAAAGAAAUCGCACUUACUAAUAUUAGGUGUGGAUGACGGUACCGGAAGAAUAAGCACCGGCUAACUACGUGCCAGCCGCCGCGGUAA
rnacentral:rRNA from 1 species